AUGCAGCGUGCGAUGGCGCGCACGACCAGGAGUAUGGCGGCGCAAAGGCGCAGCGAGGCGGGCGCAGACCACGGCGAGGAGCAGGACCACGUCGUGGAGGCGAUGACCACGCCAAACAGCCAACCGUCAGGCGCAAUGGAUUCUCAUGGAGCACAAGGCGGUGCUGGGGCUAUCACUGGGAAUGUUAACCUAGCUACUUCCCCAACUCAAGCUACUACUGUGAGAGCAUCACAAGGUCAUGGUGGUGAUGGGUCUGUUAGAGUUGUAAUAAAAGAAAGCUCACAUCAAUUGUGUGGGAAGGAAUUUUUGAAAAGAAAAUUAUUAAUGGGGAACCGAAAGCUGAGUGCAUGA
rnacentral:rRNA from 1 species